AAAUCAUUCUCAUUUUUGCACACGGGAAAUAUUCAGGGAAGGCACUUUAGAUGCAAAAUACUGAGAUGCUUUCUGCUUGAAAACUAUAGUCAAAAGUUGAUUCACAAAAGUUCAGAAGUUCAGUCCAGAUGCCAAGGCAUGCUUAGCAUCUCAUAGUCAGAGGCUAUCCCGUCUCAACAUUGCACCUAUGCAGGUUUUCAAUUUAGGAGAUGAUUUGCACCUAUCCAUUUACUCUAAUGUAUUACAUACUAAUCCUUUUGGAGGCAAUAACGGAAGAAAAAUCUGUUGAUGUCUCCACGAGUCAAGUUAUAUAGCCGUUUCUGACUUGAAGGAAUAUUUGUGGGAUUUCAAUCAUUAGGAAGUUAGAGGGCAUCUGCAGCUUGGCAAAGUAGAUGUUGUUGACAUCAAUUAUUAAUUGUUAUUUUAUAAUGUUCCAUCAUUUUGUUUUUACACUUUUUUGCAGGCACUAGCAAUGUUUUACCAUUGACAGAGCAUUGUGAAUAUGGUAACAGACUACUUGGGUGUUCUGAAAUCGAAUUCUGUAUAUAAUAUAAGUUAAUGGAUCAUCCUGGGAAUGGACUAUGGAAUGGCAAACUAACAGGGCACAUCGCACAACUGGGUAUUGUCAAUCUACUUACAGACCACUUGCGUUGGGCAAGAGGGUUCUGCUGCGGAGACCAAGAAAAAGGAUGGGAACAUUGGGGACGCCUCAGCUGCCAUCGAGGAACACAACUCGGAACAGGAAAGCUCCACGCGAGGCUCCCCUGGCUGCCGAGCAUCUCUGAGAAGCCCAAAAUGAUAUGAGAUGAUGUCAUGGUGAUCGAUAGUGCCACGCAGGUUAUGCCGGAGACCAUCAUGUUCCCUGUCAAGCUCUUCCAGUUCUUCACCGAGAUUCUGCCAGCAGCAAGCGAGGUCAUCUCCUUCUUAGACCAGUACUAAGGACCGCCGUUAUGUGGAUCCAUUUUACAUGCAAAUGUCGAGCCCAUCAUAUCGUGUUCGACCCAUGAACUGGAAGGAUUGCUUGCCAUUAUGUGGUAUAGUUGUCCUUUGAGAUAUAUUGCUGUUUGUAUGAAUUAUGAGCUUCUCUGUGUCUAAAUUGUACUCAAAUAGUCUUCCAGAAAUCUUGUUUUUAUCCA